rnacentral:rRNA from 1 species
CCUACGGGUGGCAGCAGUGAGGAAUAUUGGUCAAUGGGCGCGAGCCUGAACCAGCCAAGUCGCGUGAGGGAUGACUGCCCUACGGGUUGUAAACUUCUUUUAUAAAGGAAUAACGUGAGUCACGUGUGCCUUUUUGUAUGUACUUUAUGAAUAAGGAUCGGCUAAAUCCGUGCCAGCAGCCGCGGUAAUACGGAGGAUCCGAGCGUUAUCCGGGUUUAUUUGGUUUAAAGGGAGCGGAGAUGGGUUGUUAAGUCAGUUGGGAAAGUUGGCGGCUCAACCUUAUAAUUGCAAUUGAUACUGGCAGCCUUGAGUACAGUUGAGGUAGGCGGAAUUCGUGGUGUAGCGGUGAAAUGCUUAGAUAUCACGAAGAACUCCGAUUGCGAAGGCAGCCUACUAAACUGCCACUGACAUUGAUGCUCGAAAGUGUGGGUAUCAAACAGGAUUAGAUACCCGAGUAGUC